rnacentral:rRNA from 1 species
AUUGAAAGCUGGGAGCAGGCGAAACACAUGAACGUCGAACGAGUGGCGGACGGGUGAGUAAUGCUUGGGAAUCUAGCUUAUGGAGGGGGAUAACUACGGGAAACUGUAGCUAAUACCGCGUACCAUAGGAUGAGCCCAAGUGGGAUUAGGUAGUUGGUGCGGUAAAGGCUCACCAAGCCGACGAUCUCUAGCUGGUCUGAGCGGAUGACCAACCACACUGGGACUGAGACACGGCCCAGACUCUGACGGGAGGCAGCAGUGGGGAAUAAUGCGAAAUGGGGGCAACCUGACGCAGCCAUGCCGCGUGAAUGAAGAAUGCCGUCGGGUUGUAAAGUUCUUUCGGUAGCGAGGCGUUAACUACAGAAGAAGCACCGGCUAACUACGCGCCAGCAGCCGCGGUAAUUC